rnacentral:rRNA from 1 species
AUGGAGGGCAGACUGGUGUUGGAUCUAGCAUGCGGAUGCCCCAGAGUUCUGCCAGGCGCGGACGGAGUGUAUUGUGCGCGGCAACGAUUGGAGGGAAGUGGGCCUUACCGACGACAGGCUCCGCUCGGCACUGAACAGGAUCAUCUGCCUCAAAAGCCAUCGGGUUAA